CCAUAUUAGUUCAGAAUGUUGUGAGAGCAGGAAGAAGAAAGGAAGGGAGGAGACAUCUUGAGAAUUUACAAAUGUAGACUGAAGACUCGCUCAUUAUCAGGACAAACACACAGAUCUUCAAACAGGACUGAGAAAUGGCUUCACCUGAACAUUGCAAAAGACGCGACAGCAUUGAGGAACCCCCUUCUAUAGCUGAUGCGCUUGAAGAACUGAACAGACUUCAUGACAACGCUUCAUCUGGGUGUCGCGAGCAUAUAAAGAAAAUGACUGGUCUUGUUAAUGAGUUUGAAGAAGAUUAUAAACGUGCAACUCGUAACACGAGAACAGGAGAAAUUGCAACAAGAAUUGGAGAGUACGCCCUGAUUACGGGAGUGACUUUAAGUAUUUUUACUGCAGGGAUUUCUGCAAUUGUUGGUGGAAUCAUUUCUGCUACUGCCGCAGCUGGUGCAACUAUCGCAGGUGCCGCAGGUGCCGUAGCUGCCGUAGCUGGUGGAAUCAUUGUUGCUAUGGCACAUUUUCAAAAACAACAGAUAGAGAAGAACACAAGACAAAAUUUUGAAAAUCAGCUGACAGAGUUACAGAACAAAAUCUACCCUGUGAUUGAUGUGCUGCAGAAACUAUUUAAUCUGACACAGAAAAAACUGAGAGACCCUUCAAUAUCAGAGCACAAAGCUAACAUGAUACGGGAAUGUUUCUCCUGCUUUGAACAAAUUCAACUCUUCAAGAUAGAUGACAAUAUAGGAGUCACCGCACCCAUGUCUAAAGCUAAACAUCUCAAUGAACAUUUCUCAAAGGUUUUUACUGAGAUGAAUUCCUUGCUUGAAAUUCUAAAAGAGAUUAUUGAGGACGACAUUGAGGAUGACAAAGACAAGAAUGAAGACACUGACAACAGACCUACAGACAAAGCAUCCACAGGCAAAAAAGUAAAUGAAAAAGAGUUUACCAAAAAAACUGAGACAUUCAUUGAUGAAAUGAACAAAGGAAUUAAUACAUUAAAAAAUACCAUGAAUGAAAUUGACCAGAUAAAAAUUAGACUCUCACAGAGAUUUAAAUAAAUGAGUAAUGUGGAUGAGACAUUUUGUAAAAACCUAAAACUUAAAUUCAUAGAGAAUGUAUAUGCUAACAGCAUAAUCAAAACAUCUGUUUAUAUAUUUUUUCAAAUCAUUCAUUCAUUCAUUCAUUCAUUUUCUUGUCGGCUUAGUCCCUUUAUUAAUUCUGGGUCGUCACAGCGGAAUGAACCGUCAACUUAUCCAGCAAGUUUUUAUGCAGCUGAUGCUCUUCCAGCCGCAACCCAUCUCUGGGAAACACACACACACACACACACACACACUCAUACACACACACACUCAUACACUAUGGACAAUUUAGUCUACCCAAUUCACCUGUAUACCGCAUGUCUUUCGACUGUGGGGGAAACCGGAGUACCUGGAGGAAACCCACGCGAAUGCGGAGAGAACAUGCAAACUCCACACAGAAACGCCAACUGAGCCGAGACUCGAACCAGCGACCCAGCGAUCUUCUUGCUGUAAGACGACAGCACUACCUACUGCGCCUUUGCUUCGCCCUUUUUCAAAACAACUAACCACAUAAUUAAUAGAUCAAUAUCAAUCUGUUUUAUACUUUUAUUAGAAGGAAAUAAACAUGCCUUAUGGAUGUGAUCAAAACAUAUGCAGAUUUACAGUAAACAUAAUUUGUUUAAAUUAUCAAUUAAACUGCACAACCUAAAAUAAAAUAAUGCUCAUUAAAGAAAUGAGAUGUCUCUCUAUAGAACAAAAAUAAUUGAAUUUGGCAUUUAUGAGGAAAAAGCUUGAUUAUGGAUGUGACAGAUGUGAAAUUGGCACUUGUGUGACUUUGCUAAAUCAAAUAAUAUUGCUUAAAAAUGUUGACAGAGACAUUUUUUUGCAGUGCUAUACACUGCCCACUGUUCAAGCCCACACAAACAAUGUAAAAAGAGUUUUGCUAAUUUGAUAAAUACUUAAUUUCUUUCAUGUCAGGGUGACGAUAGCUUAGAAUUGCUAUUACCUGACAAAACAAAACAAUAUAAUAGUUACAAACUGUUAAAUCAAACCAAGUGAUACAGAACAACAGCAAAUAUCAACACUGCAGAUCAGCUGUUGUUACACAACUUUUUUUCCCCUACUCCACUCAAGUGUAAGUAAAUAAUUCUUCUCCAAUUCAACAGAUCAAAUAGUUCAACAGCAAGUUCAGGACAAGACUUACAAAGGCCAAAAUUCUCAUGGGAAAAUCUCUAAAACAACAGAACUUUAGUGACUAAAUAAUCAUAGUGGAUGUCUGAGUUUGUAUUAAAUGCUAUAGUAUGUUCAUGUCAUGAUGUAAUAACAAGAUAAGAGUUGUAAUCUAUCUGUUUAACAUCUUUUAUGUCCUCCGACUAGAGAUUAGCUGUUUCUAGAAUUUCAGGUAACACUUUAGCUUAGGGCACAAUUCACAUUAUUAUCAAACCAUUAGGGAACACCACUAGCUUAUUGUUUACUAGCCUCUUAUUUACAUGUAAAGUUUAUAAGUAAACUGUUUGGUUUAAUAUGUUGAUGUAUAUAUUUGUAUAUAAUUAAAAAAAAUGUUUCUUUCAUAACUUACAUGCCACUACCAUGAUAAUUGGUUAUUUACAUGUUUGUACACUUCUGUCGUCAUCUUAAAAGAGCCCACUCUCUAUAUAGAGUACAUGGAGUUGUGGAUUCAGACAGCAGUUCAGUUUCACACAAUAGAAACUGUUUUUUUUUUAUUUUUUUUUAUAAUGUGUAACAUGAAAUAAAUACAAAACAAAUUUAUUUCUUCUCUUGUAUAAACAUGUACAGUAUUCAAAUGAUGUCAAUACUGCAUAUGAUUAUAUAUGAUGUAUAUGACAUUUCUACUAAUGUUUUCAAUAAAAUGCUUUUUCAUUAAAGUCUUUGUAUAUCCCUUGUUUAUUCCCUUCA
ensembl:lincRNA